rnacentral:rRNA from 1 species
ACUCCUACGGGAGGCAGCAGUAGGGAAUCUUGCGCAAUGGGCGAAAGCCUGACGCAGCGACGCCGCGUGCGGGAUGACGGCCCUAGUGGUUGUAAACCGCUUUCAGCAGGGACGAAAAUGACGGUACCUGCAGAAGAAGUCCCGGCUAACUACGUGCCAGCAGCCGCGGUAAUACGUAGGGACAAGCGUUGUCCGGAUUCAUUGGGCGUAAAGAGCUCGUAGGCGGUUCAGUAAGUUGGGUGUGAAAGCUCCGGGCUCAACCCGGAGAGGCCACUCAAUACUGCUGUGACUAGAGUCCAGUAGAGGAGCGUGGAACUCCUGGUGUAGCGGUGAAAUGCGCAGAUAUCAGGAAGAACACCGGCAGCGAAGGCGGCGCUCUGGGCUGGUACUGACGCUGAGGAGCGAAAGCAUGGGUAGCAAACAGGAUUAGAUACCCUGGUAGGUCAGUC